rnacentral:lncRNA from 1 species
CAAAGAAUUUCACAUGUUACCAGCUAUCUACUUUUACAAACUUGGUAGGGUUUUCCUGAUGUUGAUCUCUAAGCUUUUAAAAAGCCAUCAUCAGUUAGCUGAAGAAUUCCUGCAAACUACAGUUUAAAACUUCUGAAAAGUGGUUUUGUUCUCCUGAAGUAGAGAUCUCUUUCACUAUCACUUACAGAGUCUAUAAUUAUGACAUUUUGCUUUCUCACAGGUAUUUGGUAGACACAAUUUUUACUUCUGUUCUCAUCCCUGGGCCUCCUGGCACAGAUGUUACCUUACCAUGGCUGAUGCAAAUAUGGGAGAUGAAUCCCUACUGCAGAGGAGCAUACCGACCUGUCACGUUCACUCCUCUUCCACCAAACACUUCUGAGGCCAGUUCUUCUUGAAAGCUGUCUCAGUGAGCACACAGCAGAAAAACAAAUGUGCUACUCCUGGCCCAGGCUGGAAAACACGGAGUGCCUGGUAAUGCCGGUGGGAUAGCACAGGAAGGACCACAGCCUUCUGCAGGGAGACAUGCCAAAGGAAUCACAGCCAGCACGCUGCAAUUCGUGUGGCUUCCUAAAACAUGAAGGUGAGUUGAUUACAGCAGGGAGGUGAAGAUAGGAACUAUUUGUGCACUUCACUCUGCCCCUUUGCCAGAGGUUACCACCUUCACACUGCUUCUCACAACUCUCUAACAGCACCUAGCAUCACAGGGCAAGUUCUCCUUCGCUGGUAGCAUGAACAAGCCCUCGGAUUUUGCAUUUCAGCUGCUUCAGAGGAAGUACAACCUUCCUCCUGUCGAUUUUGCUCCAAGUGCAAUAACAUGGCAGUAGAGACAUCUGAGGCGGUAACUUUCCAGGCUAAGCCUGUAAGAGUUUGUCGUUUUAACUAUUUGGAAUUAUAUCUGUUGGCCGAAAGAAUUUCAAGCACUGUCUAGAAAAUAAAAGCAAGCAUCAUCUUUGUAGCA